CAGUGAUCGCAGCAGCUUGAAUGGAGCUGUUGUUGCUGAAUGGACCUCUUGAUGAGAUCUCCUUGUCAACAGCCAAUCAUCGAGGUAUAGAAAGACAGAAAUUCUGUUGUGUUGGAGAUGGCUGGGUUCCGAAGGGCAAGCCUUCUACCGUGGAUUGGACCUUUCCCAGGAACCCAGAAGACCGAAGCCACAAUGCUCUCCCCAUGACCACUGCUGUGGCCAUUGAAUGGGAGGCUGUGUCAGCUACAGCAAGUGCAGU